rnacentral:lncRNA from 1 species
CGAUCACAAAUAUCCUACCAACAGGACAUCAAAACUGUAAUAUCUUAUGUUUCACCGAAUCGUGGCUGAAUGACGACAUGGAUAACAUUCAGCUGGCGGGAUAUACGCUGCACCGGCUAGAUAGAACAGCACACUCCGGUAAGACGAGGGGGGGCGGUCUGUGUAUAUUUGUAAACAACAGCUGGUGCACAAUGUCUAAGGAAGUCUCUAGAUUUUGCUUGCCUAAAGUAGAGUAUCUCAUGAUAAGCUGUAGACCACACUAUUUGCCAAGAGAGUUUUCAUCUAUUUUUUUGUGGCCGUUUAUUUACCACCACAGAUGCUGGCACUAAGACCGCACUCAGUCAGCUGUAUAAGGAAAUAACCAAACAGGAAACCGCUCACCCAGAGGCAGCACUCCUAGUGGCCAGGGACUUUAAUGCAGGGAAACUUAAAUCUGUUUUACCAAAUUUCUAUCAGCAUGUUAAAUGCGCAACCAGAGGGAAAAAAAUCAUAAAUUAGAUCACCUUUACUCCACACACAGAGAUGCAUACAAAGCUGUCCCUCGCCCUCCAUUUGUCAAAUCUGACCAUAAUUCUAUCCUCCUGAUUCCGUCUUACAAACAAAAAUUAAAGCAGGAAGCACCAGUGACUCGGUCUAUAAAAAAGUGGACAGAUGAAGCAGAUGCUAAACUACAGGACUGUUUUGCUUGCACAGACUGGAAUAUGUUCCGGGAUUCUUCCGAUGGCAUUGAGGAGUCCACCACAUAAGUCACUGGCUUUAUCAAUAGGUGUAUUGAGGACGUCGUCCCCACAGUGACUGUACGUACAUACCCCAACCAGAAGCCAUGGAUUACAGACUACAAAGGGAAGCACAGCUGUGAGCUGCCCAGUGACACGAGCCUACCAGAUGAGCUAAAUCACUUCUAUGCUCGCUUAGAGGCUUGCAUUAGAGAUCAUCAGCUGUUCCGGACGAUUGUGUGAUCACGCUCUCUAUAGCCGACGUGAGUAAGACCUUUCAACAUUCACAAGGCCGCUGGGCCAGACGGAUUACCAGGACGUGUGCUCCGGGCAUGUGCUGACCAACUGGCAGGUGUCCUCACUGACAUUUUCAACAUGUCCCUGAUUGAGUCUGUAAUACCAACAUGUUUCAAGCAGACCACCAUAGUCCCUGUGCCCAAGAACACUAACGUAAGCUGCCUAAAUGACUACAGACCUGUAGCACUCACGUCCAUAGCCAUGAAGUGAUUUGAAAGGCUGGUGAUGGCUCACAUUAACACCAUCAUCCCAGAAACCCUGUAAUGUAACUAAAUGUGGAAAAUGUCAACGCGUCUGAAUACUUUCUGAAUGCACUUUAUACAAUAUACCACCCAAGCCUAGCUGGGACCUGCGCUUUUAUAUUGCUUGGCCUGGGGAGCAAAAUCACAUUGUAAUGUCAUUGACAUGGCACAAUAGUAACCAUGCCAUUCCAAUCACGUAAACUGGUAAAAUAAACAAAAAUACAAACACUGCGGAAUAUAAAGUUGACAGAACGAUGUGCUUAUUUUAUGAGUAAAAUUAAGAAAAUGUGCCCAAAAUUGUAGGAGGAGAUCCUCCCGAAUCUUAGAGUCCUUUGUGUAUUAUAAUAUAGUAAUAUUAAUAUUAUUUAGCUUUAAAACAGCAAAAAUGGCUCUCCACAGUGGCGAACUGUGACUAUUGGAGCUAGGUCCUCAGCUGUGGAAAAAAAUCUGACGUCAUACAUAUAGAUAGAGAACUCGAAUGCCUGUGUAUACAGAGCAUGACUGAGACCUUUCCUUUGCAGACCUAUGUAGGAGAAGGAAUUAUUUGAUGACAGAGUCAAACAGUCCUAAGCCACGCCUCAGCUGUGGCUCACAAAGAAACAUUUGCCAAAACAAACAGUCACUCAAAUAGUGGCGGAAUAAAUUCAACCACACAACUACUCACAUUGUUUCAAGACCACGGACAGUAUAUGCUGUCAGAGAGAAACAAAUUGUGCUGUACUUGAUGUUCUAUCUCCAGCAUGCAACAAUAAAAAAAUGCACCACAACACGAAAUGUCAUGUACCCAGUACUUGCAAUUGCAACAUCAUUACCGUUGUUUUUACCACACAACCAGUGAUCUAAAGUUGAAAUAAUAUUUUACACAUUGUAUUCA